rnacentral:rRNA from 1 species
CAUUACUGAGUUACCGCUCUACAACCCUUUGUGAACAUACCUAACCGUUGCUUCGGCGGGCAGGGGAAGCCUCUCGCGGGCCUCCCCUCCCGGCGCCGGCCCCACCACGGGGACGGGGCGCCCGCCGGAGGAAACCAAACUCUAUUUACACGACGUCUCUUCUGAGUGGCACAAGCAAAUAAUUAAAACUUUUAACAACGGAUCUCUUGGUUCUGGCAUCGAUGAAGAACGCAGCGAAAUGCGAUAAGUAAUGUGAAUUGCAGAAUUCAGUGAAUCAUCGAAUCUUUGAACGCACAUUGCGCUCGCCAGCAUUCUGGCGAGCAUGCCUGUUCGAGCGUCAUUUCAACCCUCAAGCACCGCUUGGUUUUGGGGCCCCACGGCAGACGUGGGCCCUUAAAGGUAGUGGCGGACCCUCCCGGAGCCUCCUUUGCGUAGUAACUAACGUCUCGCACUGGGAUCCGGAGGGACUCUUGCCGUAAAACCCCCAAAUUCUUUACAGGUUGACCUCGGAUCAGGUAGGAAUACCCGCUGAACUUAAGCAUAUCAAUAAGCGGAGGAA